GCAUCUAUACUGUGAAACUGCGAAUGGCUCAUUAAAUCAGUUAUCGUUUAUUUGAUAGUACCUUACUACUUGGAUAACCGUGGUAAUUCUAGAGCUAAUACAUGCUAAAAACCUCGACUUCGGAAGGGGUGUAUUUAUUAGAUAAAAAACCAAUGCCCUUCGGGGCUCCUUGGUGAUUCAUAAUAACUUAACGAAUCGCAUGGCCUUGUGCCGGCGAUGGUUCAUUCAAAUUUCUGCCCUAUCAACUUUCGAUGGUAGGAUAGUGGCCUACCAUGGUUUCAACGGGUAACGGGGAAUUAGGGUUCUAUUCCGGAGAGGGAGCCUGAGAAACGGCUACCACAUCCAAGGAAGGCAGCAGGCGCGCAAAUUACCCAAUCCCGACACGGGGAGGUAGUGACAAUAAAUACUGAUACAGGGCUCUUUUGGGUCUUGUAAUUGGAAUGAGUACAAUUUAAAUCCCUUAACGAGGAACAAUUGGAGGGCAAGUCUGGUGCCAGCAGCCGCGGUAAUUCCAGCUCCAAUAGCGUAUAUUAAAGUUGUUGCAGUUAAAAAGCUCGUAGUUGAACCUUGGGCCUGGCUGGCCGGUCCGCCUCACCGCGUGCACUGGUCCGGCCGGGCCUUUCCUUCUGGGGAGCCGCAUGCCCUUCACUGGGUGUGUCGGGGAACCAGGACUUUUACUUUGAAAAAAUUAGAGUGUUCAAAGCAGGCCUAUGCUCGAAUACAUUAGCAUGGAAUAAUAGAAUAGGACGUGUGGUUCUAUUUUGUUGGUUUCUAGGACCGCCGUAAUGAUUAAUAGGGAUAGUCGGGGGCAUCAGUAUUCAAUUGUCAGAGGUGAAAUUCUUGGAUUUAUUGAAGACUAACUACUGCGAAAGCAUUUGCCAAGGAUGUUUUCAUUAAUCAGUGAACGAAAGUUAGGGGAUCGAAGACGAUCAGAUACCGUCGUAGUCUUAACCAUAAACUAUGCCGACUAGGGAUCGGGCGAUGUUAUCUUUUUGACUCGCUCGGCACCUUACGAGAAAUCAAAGUCUUG
rnacentral:rRNA from 1 species